GCAGUGGUGGUUCAGGGGUAGAAUUCUUGCCUCCCAAUUAGGAGACCCAAGUUUGAUUCCUGGCCCAUGCA
rnacentral:tRNA from 1 species